rnacentral:rRNA from 1 species
UACGAAGGGGGCUAGCGUUGCUCGGAAUCACUGGGCGUAAAGGGUGCGUAGGCGGGUCUUUAAGUCAGGGGUGAAAUCCUGGAGCUCAACUCCAGAACUGCCUUUGAUACUGAAGAUCUUGAGUUCGGGAGAGGUGAGUGGAACUGCGAGUGUAGAGGUGAAAUUCGUAGAUAUUCGCAAGAACACCAGUGGCGAAGGCGGCUCACUGGCCCGAUACUGACGCUGAGAUGCGAAAGCGUGGGGAGCAAACAGG